GGGGAUGUUUUGGUUUUGACAGCAUCGACUGCGGGAGGCAAGCACGCCGGGCGUGGGAGGUUUGCCCGUUAAUCUCAGCCUUCAAGCCAUUAACUGGCAACUACAACUAUUCUUACGCUUGCUAAUCUCCAAGAGAUUCAGCAUUAACCGGAUUCGCCAAGGCUGCGGAACCGGCGUAUAUCCCUCCGGGCUUUAGGCCGGUUAUGACCGGAUCAAGGGGUAUCAUUCAAACCGGACGCUCGGAGACGCCUCCCCCACUCUCCGCUAAGAUUCAGGGGAUAAGAUGGCUGCAAGGGCGUCUUCCCUCAUCUGCCGUCCGACAAUCAAAGGAAGAAUAAGCGUGUAGAAAACCUUUUGUUGCGUUGUUUGGACGGCGGUUCGAGUCCGCCCAUCUCCACAA
rnacentral:tmRNA from 1 species